rnacentral:lncRNA from 1 species
GGUAACUCUAGAUCCGUCCAAAUGUUCUCCAUACUGAAUUGAUCUCUUCUUCACUUACGAUCGCCGUUUUUGUUGUUCUGGCGAGAAGGCGGCGAAACCGACUCUGAUGAUUGGCCUCGUCAAUACCGCUUUCUUCUUCAUGUAAGCUAAACUCGAUCCGAUCAGAACCCCGAUUGAUGUUAUAUUUGCUUGAUUGGUAUCAGCGUGUGGCGUUCUCAGUCCUGGAUCUCUCUCUCCUCUUGUAACGUGUUCAUUGUAUUUAAAGCUUGAUCAGCAUUGCUAUUUGCUUAUAUAUAGUGUUUGGUAACAAUGCAUUCUCAUGGAGUUGAUGAAUUAUGUUGUGACUUAUUUAUUUAACUUUUGAACAUGUGUGAGUUCUAUAUCCUGUCAUGAUGUAUCGAAGUAAAGACUCUAGCAUGUCAGUUACUGAAUCAGUAUUUUGUAGGUUCACAGAAUGUAAAAUGAUCGGUUUAGUUCAUAACUGGACAGUUGGAUUGUGUAAUUCUCGUUCUUAAGCAAUGAGCUUCAACCUCUAAGAUGGACACGUGCCCUUUAUAUUAGUUUUUCCUUGGAGUCCGGUGGUCAUAUUGGACUCUUAUUCACAGUUCGGGUAUAGAUUGAAGAAGUGAUCAAAGUGUUGUAUUUGUUCUUUCUUUCUUUCUUUCUAACUUACAUGUUACAACAUUAUUGAUGCAGCUACGAAGCUACAUCAUCUAGGAAAAACUGUAGCCUCAAGGUUUGAGCUCGCGACUGCGGCAGUAGCAGCUGUUUUCUUGGUAUGGUUUCUUUCUUCGUCCUCUGAACUUUGUAAUAGUUGUCUUAAACGCAAUUUCGUGUGGUGAAAUCAGUUUCUCUGGGUUAAAUUGCAGGGAUUUCGAUCGCUGUUUUUGCUACUUGCUAGUGGUGUUUUAU